UACGGAGGAUCCAAGCGUUAUCCGGGAUUCAUUGGGUUUAAAGGGUGCGUAGGCGGAAUGAUAAGUCAGUGGUGAAAUCUCGGGAGCUUAACUCCGAAACUGCCAUUGAUACUGUCAAUCUUGAGUACAUUUGAUGUGGGCGGAAUGUGUCAUGUAGCGGUGAAAUGCUUAGAUAUGACACAGAACACCGAUUGCGAAGGCAGGUCUCUGGGCUGACACUGGACGCUCAUGCACGAA
rnacentral:rRNA from 1 species